rnacentral:rRNA from 1 species
CCCUUAGAUGUUCUGGGCCGCACGCGCGCUACACUGAUGCAUUCAACGAGCCUAUCCUUGACCGACAGGUCCGGGUAAUCUUUGAAUCUGCAUCGUGACGGGGAUAGAUUAUUGCAAUUAUUAAUCUUCAACGAGGAAUGCCUAGUAGGCGCAAGUCAUCAGCUUGCGUCGAUUACGUCCCUGCCCUUUGUACACACCCCCCGUCGCUCCUACCGAUUGGGUGUGCUGGUGAAAUGUUCGGAUCGGCCGUUUGUCGCGGUUUCCGCGUCAUGUGGCUGAGAAGUUCAUUAAACCCUCCCACCUAGAGGAAGGAGAAGUCGUAACA